UACGGAGGGUGCAAGCGUUGCUCGGAAUUAUUGGGCGUAAAGGGUAGGUAGGUGGUCUCGUUUGUCUGGGGUGAAAUCCUUGAGCUUAACUCAAGAAGUGCCUCAGAAACGGCGAGACUAGAGUUCUGGAGAGGGUCGUGGAAUUCCCGGUGUAGCGGUGAAAUUCGUAGAUAUUCGGAAGAACACCAGUGGCGAAGGCGACUUACUGGUCCAUUACUGACGCUGAGGCUCGAAAGCGUGGGGAGCAAACAGG
rnacentral:rRNA from 1 species